CCGGAGAGAGGACAGGCCGGGGCCCCUGCACCGCCAGGCUCAUGGCACACAGCCUCCGGAGGCGCAGCAUGCCGGCAGAGACAGCUCGCUCCACCGCAAGUCCGGCCCGAGUAAACUUUUAAAGAUCAGAAUCACAAUAAAAUGGGCCUCACGUACAUUAUCAAGUUUAACAUCUGAAGGCCCCAGCGAAAUCAGACCACCAAAAAUUCUGAAGCUGGAGCUUUGCUCUGGGACUCGGGGCUGGAAUGCCGUUCCAGGGGGUGCACAACUUGAGAUAUUCCAAGGCCCCAGGUGUGCCUUUGGUUCAUUGGAUUGCUGGAGUGAACUGCUGCACUAAAACAAUUAGCAAGCAUUCAGGGGAGGAGGCCUCCAUAGGUAAGUGGCGCCCUUAUAACAUCUGGUAUUGGGUUAAGAGAGAGGUGCCUGAUGAGGCACAUACACUCCUGUCUAGGACAGUAAUGAAAUAUCGCU